GCCUCGGGGGCGACCCGGCCUUCGGGCGUCGGGGCCCCCGGCGGUCCACUCAACUCUGCAUCUUUGCGUCUGAGUACAAAUUGAAUCAAUCAAAACUUUCAACAACGGAUCUCUUGGUUCUGGCAUCGAUGAAGAACGCAGCGAAAUGCGAUAAGUAAUGUGAAUUGCAGAAUUCAGUGAAUCAUCGAAUCUUUGAACGCACAUUGCGCCCCUUGGCAUUCCGAGGGGCAUGCCUGUUCGAGCGUCAUUACACCACUCAAGCCUAGCUUGGUAUUGGGCCCCGCGGGUCUCCCGCGCGCCCCAAAUUCACCGGCUGAGCCGUCCGUCUCUAAGCGUUGUGACACACAAUCCGCUUGCGAGCCCCGGGCGACCCGGCCGUUAAACCCCCCAUCAAAGGUUGACCUCGGAUCAGGUAGGGAUACCCGCUGAACUUAAGCAUAUCAAUAAGCGGAGGAAAAGAAACCAACAGGGAUUGCCCUAGUAACGGCGAGUGAAGCGGCAACAGCUCAAAUUUGAAAUCUGGCGCAAGCCCGAGUUGUAAUUUGUAGAGGAUGCUUCUGGGCAGCGGCCGGUCUAAGUUCCUUGGAACAGGACGUCAUAGAGGGUGAGAAUCCCGUCUGCGACUGGCUUGCACCCGUCACGUAGCUCCUUCGACGAGUCGAGUUGUUUGGGAAUGCAGCUCUAAAUGGGAGGUAAAUUUCUUCUAAAGCUAAAUACCGGCCAGAGACCGAUAGCGCACAAGUAGAGUGAUCGAAAGAUGAAAAGCACUUUGGAAAGAGAGUUAAAAAGCACGUGAAAUUGUUGAAAGGGAAGGGCAUGCAACC
rnacentral:rRNA from 1 species